UACGAAGGGGGCUAGCGUUGUUCGGAAUCACUGGGCGUAAAGGGCGCGUAGGCGGCCGAUUAAGUCGGGGGUGAAAGCCUGUGGCUCAACCACAGAAUUGCCUUCGAUACUGAUUGGCUUGAGACCGGAAGAGGUCAGUGGAACUGCGAGUGUAGAGGUGAAAUUCGUAGAUAUUCGCAAGAACACCAGUGGCGAAGGCGGCUGACUGGUCCGGUUCUGACGCUGAGGCGCGAAAGCCAGGGGAGCAAACGGG
rnacentral:rRNA from 1 species